UAUCAUCCUGGACUUAAACUCACCAGAUUCGUUCUAGACUUCUAGUAACCAAUACCAGUAUACAUAAGUGGAGCUUCUGAAAGUUCUGGCACCAUCCUGGUAUGUAUUUAGUUAAUUUUGUGAUCAACUUGCUCUAAUUUGCUUCUCCCUAGUCAGGGACAUUACUACCAGAAGACGAUGAGAAUUUGAACACAUCUACAUUUGCAAGAAAUGAUAUCUUUCUCUCUCGCUGCUUCACAUCACCGCUCUCUCUUGCCGCUACAAGACCACAAAUCCUCAUACUCAGGUUUUUUUAGAUCUUGGGUUUCUAGGGAAAGGAUUAGACGGAUUUUGGUUAAUUCUGAUUGAUUUUUUUUUUCCUUAGUUCUGAGCAUCUAUUUUCGUGGGUAUGCUUCUGACUUUGAGCCAAUAUCACUUUGUUUAGUCAAUGAAUCCUUCAAUUCUUAUCCGCAGGUGCAAAAUCUUCUGCAGCAAAUGGUGGAUUUUCUUACAGAUUUUUUUUUUUUUUGUCUCAUUAGGCCUGUGAAUUGCAGCUUCAAACAAGUAGAUUCUGAUAAAUCUGGUCUUUUGUGUUUUUCAUCAAAACAGGUUCCAUAAAAUGUCGGACUCCAUCACUGCAAAGAGUAUCCUUACAUCAAUAUUGUAUAUGGUUUUACUUGAAUGUUGCUUCCAUUAUCAUAUUUGAAAUGUUUCCUAAAAAGAGUAAGAACCAUGAUCUUUUUUUUUUGGUCAAAAAACCACCAUGAUCUCUAAUAUUAGUUUCUUUCUGCCAUUAAACUAUAUGAAAUGACAAUUCUCUAAUGACAUAUUGGAUGUAACGAUGAUCCCUGAUAAUUGUUUCUUUGUGUUUAAAUGUCUAUUUUAUUAGAUAGUAUCACACGUGUCUGUGUUAUGAUCUUUAGUUAAGAGUUCCUCUUAUACACAUACUUCUUUGCUCUCACUGAUUUUCUUUCACGUGUUAGGAGGUAAGAGACCUUAUGCAGCUGGUGAUUCUGACUUCUUUCAAUAUUUUGCAGAUUGUUUCUUCUAAGUCUGGUGGAGCUGAGAAGAAAGGCUUUGACCACAGUUAAGCAAAACAAGAGACUUAAAUCAGUUUCAAGUGCAUCUCAUUACUACUGGUUUGAUGUCUUGCUCAUGUACAUGAAUAAUGCUUUGUUUAACACUCUUAGGUCGAUUACUAUUUACACAGUUCACCAAAUAAGUUUUUUUUUUUGGUCUAGUUUGUGUUUUGCUGCUAAAAUUUUUUUAUCUCUGUGAAGGCCAGAACCGGAACUGUUGAGCUAAGGAAUUUGAGUGUAUGGAGUUCGUUGCUGGUGUCACUUGUAAUGUUAGUUUAAUACUUGGAUCGAGACUUUUGUAGUGUUUGUUAGAUAUCUAUUUGUUGUUGAGACUUGGAUUGAGAAUUAUAUACUUUUUUUAUAUAGCAUAUGUUUAAUGCAAAACAGGUUUCUUGCGAAUGUGGAAUAAAAUAAUGUAAAACAAUAA
rnacentral:lncRNA from 1 species